rnacentral:rRNA from 1 species
GACUACCGCUAUACAACCCUGAACACACCUAGUCUCAUCUGAUCUUGGGUGCUAAAUGUGGUUGGGCCCACUAAGUACUUAGAUGGCAGAUAUGCUGACUUGUCAUGGCUUAGGGCCAGAAGUCU